UGUCCAACAUGAUGAAUUAUAGAAAAUUGUGAGUUCACGGAUGAACCGUGUGAAAAGUUUGGUGAUGGCCCAUAUAUGUUUCACUUUUUUCAGCUUCAAUCUAUCUGUUGAUAUCUCAGUAUCUGACUAUGAAAGAAUUUGAAGCUUCGAAUUCAUUUUUAAGACUCAUGAGGUGGUGUCUGUAGAUCAUACGUGUGGUGGAAACCGGCUAUGAAAAACUUCUACUUUGGCUACUAUUAGUAAUCUUCAGUUGCAGAGUGAUUGACUGUUGAUGGAAUAUUGGAGAGCUGGGAAAAGACUAAGCGGGUUAUAAUGGAAGCUUGGGAAGAAGAAGAUAAAGAUGCUUAUGGUUGGAUUAAAAAGGACUCGACAACUUGGAUUGGUGACAAUAGGUAUGUCUUCGAGAUCAAUUCCUAAAGGACACAAGUUUUGAGACCUAUAUUGUCAAAACAACAUGUCAUAUAGUCACAGUUUCAUCUU